UAGCUUUUUCCAUACCUCAAAUCGCCCAUCACUUGAUAGGCAUAGCAGUUUUAGUGGUUUGCUCUAGGGUGGGCAAAGGCCGUUCAUUACUAUGUGUGUGGUUAAUUAUGCCAAAUCCACAUACUGACCUAAGGGCCUUGUAUCUAGUUUACUACUACUGUGUUGUAUUUGGUAUUUUUGUUUUUCUUUGGUUUUGUUAUAGCUCCACUGGAACUUGCUAUAUAGGUUAGGCUGGUUUUGAACACAUUGAGGUCAGCCUGCUUCUGCCUCCCAAGUGCUGGAAUUAAAGGCAUGGACCGGCAAGCUUGACACUGCUUCCUGUUGAAGCACUUGUGUAGCACCUGUGGAGUCCUUGUGUGAUUAUUCUUGUUCGAGGUACUUAGGGCAAGUCACAUGCCCUCCAUCCCAUGGCUCAGAGAUGAAGAGUAAAUCCAAAACAUGUGCCUCGCUCUUGGUCACUAACUGCUGUCCUGAUGUGGGUUAUUAUUUUUGGAGUUGUGGUCUUGUGGAGGCAUGGGUGGUGUUGCUGUGUGUAUUCAGAGGGAGGGGAGAGUGGAGAGUGUGUUGAUAAGCUGUAAACAAAGCUGGUUUCUUUUUGGAGGACUGCAUGUGCUGAAAGCUUCAGAGUUCCCAGUCCAGAAGCAGUAUUCUAACUCCCAGCCCCUCCACCUUUUCCUUUCUCAGCCGAGGCCUCUACAGCACCAGUCACUUGGCUCCAUUACACAUUGUUAGGCGCACAUUUAAGAUCAUUGAUGUCAUGCUAGUCUGUACCCCUGUGUGACUUGGCCUAGGAACUAGUGCAAAAUUUGGUUUGUUGGUGUGCUUUUCUGGUUUAGGAGCCUGAAACAAGCACACUGUGCUAGAGACUAGUUGGGUAGCACCAGAAAUCCCCUGGAGGGAUUUCCAGGAGGAGGAGGGGGUACUGUUGUAUGGGAGGAGCAUCAGGAAGUCUCAGAGAAUCCAUGCCUAAGAGCUCCUUUUUGGUAUUAAGGACAUGGCAUUAUGUCAGGGCAUAUGCCUCUAUAGAUUGGCAAACCCCACAGUGCCUCUAUGGCUGAGGCUGUGACAUGAGACCAAGAAUGUGACUGGGUAGAAUGCAAGUGAAUGGGCCCUUUGAUCCAGGCUCGGGAGCUAACAGUUCCCAGAAUUCCUGAAUGAGUGCCUGUCCUGACUCACAUUCACUUGGAGGCUCAUUGACCACAGAGCCUUGUGACCUUUGGUGGCCACAGACCAAGAUUGUUUUCUAGCACUGCAUGUCCUACAGUCUUGUAAGUUUAAAAAGUGCUUAUCCAAAUGUAAGUUUUAACAUUUUUAUAAAAAUAAGUUGUUCUAUUAAAAAAUAAGUAUCAUUUU
rnacentral:lncRNA from 1 species